GACUCAUGCACAGGGUUUAUAGGAUGUCAGACAAAACCAUCUCUACAAAAACAAAAACAACAAACUUAUAAUUGUAUACUGUGACAGCAUUUCCAUGUCAAUAGUACCAAUUUACAACAUAAACCCAGGUUCUAACUGAGGAAAGUCCAAAACUCUAACCUCACAGAGCCAGUAGGGUACUGGAGUGGGGGAAAGGAAUGAAAGGACGUGAGAACUGAUUGACUCUAGCAAAUGAUUUCCAAUUUUAUAACCUGUACAUAGCUCCAGGAUUCUUUUUUGACUCUUUCUUCUUCUUAACCCCAAAUGCAACUGGUUUCCUAUUGAUUCUUUCUUUGAAACAUCUCUUAAUUUAGUCUCAUUCUCCCUCUUCAUGACAUCACGGAGCCUAGGCAUGAAUUCUCCUGCGCUUGGAUCAUGCCUCCACUUUCUGCCUUUUCCAAGUAGUCCUUCGUCAGACCCACAGGCCUUCUUUUCAAGGGGCUACUUCAAUGAGAUUCUUUGCCUUGAUCAAAAUUUCUCAAUGAAUUUCCUUUGCCCACAUCUCAAACUCCUAAUUCCACCUUCAAGAUCCUUCACAAGCUUUCUCCUUUCAAGACUCACUUCCAACGUCUUUUCCUGAGAUCUCCAUUACAGUCAAACUUAGCAUCUCUCAAGCAAACCUUGUCUUUUCCUUCCUCCAAGCUUUUAAAAGCUGAUAUAUAUGCUGCAGCUCCUGGAAUACCUCCCUGGUUGCAACCACGGAUACACCAUAAAUCCUGUCUGGUACAAGGGAGGACAUGCAUUCAUUCAUUUGUUUUAAAGUGCCUCCUGUUCCUUGUAUUCUUUCUCCUCUACCUCAUGCUUUCUCUGUUCAUCAUCUCUCUCUCAACCAGGCUUUUAAACUCUUUGAGGUCAGACAGCAUGUGUUCCUUCUUUUUAAUUCUGCGCAUUUUUUUUCUAGGAUGUACUUUAUAUAGAUAAUUUUGAUGGAUGAUAGUGCAAAAAGAAAGUCUUUUCUGGAUAUUUUCUUGGUGUAAAUGAGGUCACCCUAAUAGCAUCUGUAAUCACUCUGAAGUCCUUCAGCCCAUUUAGUCUGAAAAAUGUUUUCCUAAAAUAAAAGUUCUUUCUUUUUUUUUUUUUUUUAGUGCAUAUCAUCGUCAUUCAUCUCACUUUUCCUUCUAACAUCAAGGAUCUAUACAAGGCCGUUGAUCCCCACUGCUGCAUAUUUCUUGGAUCUAUCUGAGGUCCCAGAUCCCAUUGCCUCUUCAUCCUCACAGCCACUGCUGGGUCUGGGUCCUCAUAAGUUCUAUCUGGAAGUUUCAGUACAGUCUUUCUCGAUGUGCUCCACACUGUUAUGGGAAUGAAUUUUCAAACACCCCUGCUUUGAAGAUAGGGUGCUUCCAGGGUAAGGCAUAAAGUUCUCCAGGGAGGCAACAGUGCAGUGGUAUACAGACAGCACAGCCUUUCAUUCCUGCGAGGCCACUUACACCUGAGUGAGGAUGGGAAGAAGAGAAGACAAGGACGAAUGUAGGAAACUGUCAGUUAAAUGACAAUGUAUGGAUGGCAAGAGAGAAAGAAUAGUCAGUGAUGGAAAAAUAAUCAAUAACAGCUUUGGGCUUUUGAGUUUGAAAAUGGUGUGUAGGGUGAGACAACAAUAGGAAACUUCUAAUAAAGAAUGAACAAGUACUUCUACUUGUUCAAUGAAUGUGAAUCUGGUACAUACAUUUGAUCCUUAAAAUAUUCUCACUAAACUGGUAUCAUUUAAUGGAACUGUUUAAUGUUAUCCUGGGCAAGUUACUUACUCAAUUUGCCUUAGCAUCUCAUCUGCAAAAUGUGGAUGAGUACCUACCCCCCAGGGUUAUGUCAAAAAUUAGAUAAGAUGAAAAGUAAGUUAUAGUAUUAGAAUGGCACCCAAUACAUAGUUUGGAAUUUUUUAAAAUGUCAGCUAUUAUGAUGAUAACAAUGGUGGCUUACAAGACCUUUGACCAUCUGGCUUCCCUCUCCAAGCAUGCCAAAUUAAUCACACUUCUUAAACACAUCUCUUGACCGGGGUGUUCUCACCAUGCCCUUUCUACAAACAAAAAGUAAGUACUCUUCUCAUUCUUUAGAACCAAUUCUAAAUUCUCCCUCAUAUGAGAAUUUCCUUAUUAUUCCACCUGGUAUGAAUGAUUUCCACUUCCAGGGUCCCCAAGACUUUAAUAUCAUUUCUGGAGCAUAUGUGAUGAUAAUGUAAUAAUUAUAAUGAUACUAUUAUGC
rnacentral:lncRNA from 1 species